rnacentral:rRNA from 1 species
UGCAGAUUCGCCUUCUGGUUGAUCCUGCCGGCGCCCCGCUAUUGGAAUUCGAUUAAGACAUGCGCAGUCGAGAGUCGCAAGGACUCGGCGGACCGCUCAGUCCCUCGCGGAUAACAUGCCCUUGGGUGGGGGAUAACCUCGGGAAACUGAGAAUAAUACCCCAUAGAUCUAGAAAGCUGGAAUGCUUUUAGAUCGAAAACUCCGGUGCCCAAGGAUUGGUCUGCGGCGUAUCAGGUUGUAGUGGGUGUAACGGACCCCCUAGCCUAUGACGCGUAAGGGCCUUGAGAGAGGGAGCCCUGAGAUGGACUCUGAGACAUGAGUCCAGGCCCUACGGGGCGCAGCAGUCGCGAAAAACUUCACAAUGGGGGAAACCCCGAUGAGGGAAUUCCAAGUGCCAGCACAUUUGUGUUGGCUGUUCUCUGGUCUAAAAAACCGGAGAAGUAAGGGCCGGGUAAGACGGGGUGCCAGCCCGCCCGGGGUAAUACCCGCGUCCCAAGGUGGUGGUCGGAUAUUAUUGAGCCUAAAAGGUCCGUAGCCGGUCUUGUAAAUCCUUGGUUAAAU